GUGUUUAGCUCAGUUGGUAGAGCAGCUGCCCUUUGUGUUGAGGCUACAGUCCUCACUGCAUUUGGCCCUGGUUCAAAUCCCGCAUCGAGCG